rnacentral:tRNA from 1 species
GGGGAUUUAGCUCAGUGGUAGAGCGCUUGCCUAGGAAGCGGAAGCGCAAGGCCCUGGGUUCGGUCCCCAGCUCCG